ensembl:lncRNA
GGUAAAGUGUCGGGGUAUCUGAAUUUCAGGGGUUGUAUUUGUGCCUCAGUGGUACUGGUGGAAAUUCAGAGAUGAGCAGAGAGACCCUAGACUGCUCCAAUGCCUCAGGUGACUGAAGCCCCUGGCGUGGGCAGGUCACCCGUGCAGGUGAAGGGGAGAGAAGCUCCAGCCCCCACAAACCGAACUCUUGUUGGAAACUUUGUUAUUUAGGAAGAAAGAAAGGAAGAAAGGAAUGUAUCUGAGGACAUCUCCAGUCCUGCAGCAAUUCCACCUUCGGCAGCGCUGGCUCUGCCUGGGAGCGCUGCCUGUGACUUUGGGUGACGUUGUGCGGCCUCCAGCAGAAGAAGAAAAUAGGAUCUAAGGAUGUGGAUAAGUUUCGUAAUGAUACCAAUGGUAGAAUAAACAGCCACGGGAGGCUGGGGUAAUCACCGUCACGAGGGACAGCCAAGACAAGAUCCAACGUCUGUCCUGCCUGCAAGAACUUGAGUCACGCUGCUGCAGCAGCGAGCUCACCCAGGGAAUCUAUUUUAGGGGCUCAUAAAAACAACUGAACUGCGCUGCACAAAUGAAAAAGCAAAUGGGGGAAGUCUGUGCAGUGCUACCCCUGCCCUGCUCAGGACUGCACAGCUCUGGGACGAGCAGGGAGCGUCAGGGAGGGCUCCAGUGAUGGACCUGCAGGAGGCUCUGAUGGUAAGAGUCAAAAAAAGCACAGCAGUUCUUCCAGUAGAAAACAUGUUUUGCUUAAAGAGACGCUGGAAAUAAGUGACAAGUUUCAGAUUUGUCCUGCAGCCCAGGGCUGUUUGUGUGGAAUUUAUAGGAACAAAUUCAAGGCCGCUGUCUUUGCACUGAAACCCCCUUUUGUGCUCAGCUGUCAGAGCGCAGGCAGCAAAGGAGUUUCUUUCCCCAGGCGCUGGGAAUCUGUAUGUAAAAACUUCACGCUUAAAUUUGGCCUAACAGGAAAAUGGAAAAUGCUGACUAAGCCCUGAUCCUUUGCCCAACUCCCUCCACGUAACCAGCCCGGGAGUGUUCACUCCUUCCAGCCCUUAGAGCAGGGAAUAACAGCGGGAGCUGCGGCCAGGCUGGCCCGUCCCAGCACAGGCAGAGCCCUGGAUCUCCCCAAAACAAAGUCCUGCCUGCUGCAAACCUCCUGCUCCUCCUCUGCCACCCCCACUUGUCUGUCCCUUGCCCCAGCAAACACCUCUCAGCAGAAGAUCUACCUGCAGUUUUUAGGAAAGCGUCUCCAGAGAAAAGGGAAGGGGGCGGUUCAGGAGCCUCUCACCUGGUUGGGUCUCAUGGGAGCUUCCUGAGCAAUGCCCGAAAUUACCGAAAUCCAACAGAAAUGCUACUUUCUCAUGUUUAUUCCUGUAAACUACAAACACAAGAAAUGCUGAAUAGUAAAGAAUAGAAACUCUGUAAAGAAAAAAAAAAAUCAAACACAAACAAAACCUCAUUUCAGGCUUCCUCCCAUACUUUUUGUUCCUCCCUCCCACUUCAAACUCGGUGUUAUUUGCCAAAGAUUGGUCAUGGUUUGGAUAGCACAUCUUGCUCUACACGUUCAAAACAGCAUGAAGUGCAGAAAAAAACCCAACACAAACACCUCCUCCCCAAACAACACCCAAGCAGCAACUAAAGCAGGUGAUUAAAGGAAAUAAAAUGAGGCAACAAGAACCGGCUAAGGCUUCCAGCUCUGCUCUUUGCUGAGUUUCUCUUGGGGGUUUUGGGGUUUGGUUUUGGUUAUUGGGAUUUUUUGUUGUUUUGGUUUUUUUUUUCCUUUCACUCAGAGAAAGUUAAAGACUUAGAAAAAUCCCUAUCCCUGAAUCACAGCAUUGAGCCAGAAUCAGCUGGAAUUUCAGCCCUGUGUUUAAUCUAACUUUAAACAUGCCUUCAAAAUAAAACAAGCUACUUUUUUUUAAC